GAUGAACGCUGGCGGCGUGCCUAAUACAUGCAAGUCGAGCGAACAGACGAGGAGCUUGCUCCUCUGACGUUAGCGGCGGACGGGUGAGUAACACGUGGAUAACCUACCUAUAAGACUGGGAUAACUUCGGGAAACCGGAGCUAAUACCGGAUAAUAUAUUGAACCGCAUGGUUCAAUAGUGAAAGACGGUUUUGCUGUCACUUAUAGAUGGAUCCGCGCCGCAUUAGCUAGUUGGUAAGGUAACGGCUUACCAAGGCAACGAUGCGUAGCCGACCUGAGAGGGUGAUCGGCCACACUGGAACUGAGACACGGUCCAGACUCCUACGGGAGGCAGCAGUAGGGAAUCUUCAGCAAUGGGCGAAAGCCUGACGGAGCAACGCCGCGUGAGUGAUGAAGGUCUUCGGAUCGUAAAACUCUGUUAUUAGGGAAGAACAAAUGUGUAAGUAACUAUGCACGUCUUGACGGUACCGAAUCAGAAAGCCACGGCUAACUACGG
rnacentral:rRNA from 1 species